rnacentral:lncRNA from 7 species
AGUUGAGUUACAGUGGCUCUUUCAGAAACAGGAGUGAAAUCCAAAACAUACAAAAGCUCUACAUAAACCUCCUGAAAAUCAGCUCUGAAGUCUUGGGCAGUUCUUCCAUUUGCAAAUGGACAGUCAGUACUCUUCCAGAAAUGCUUUCAAGUUCAUCAAAAUGUUACAGCCCUUCAUUGCUCUGAUUGCUACUCAUAUAUUUUUCUUUGUUCCGGAGUUAAAUUCUGUAUAUCUACUUUUUUGGAAUAUCCUUGAGUUCUGAUCAAGAAUUUGGUAUAGGGAAUGUAGAGCUUCCCCAACUCACUGGUGAGUCUGGGAAGUGCCCCCAAGUAGCUGAUACAGGAGGAGGACCCCACUGAAGUACAAGGUGCUUGACAUAAAUGACCUAUUCUGGUUUGAAACAAUUUAAGAUCACAUUCAGACUUUUUUCUAUUUAAAGUUUAAGGGAAAGAGCCCAUCAAAGAACACGAAACAUAGAUCUGAAAAUAGACAUGCAUUCAGUUGAGGGAAGAAAGGUCUUACAUUUCAUAUACUCUCUAUUUUCAAUGUGAGGAACGCAUCCUGAAUAACCAGAAAUAUCUGGUUUUUGAGAAUGUUCGUAAUUCAGCAUUUUGAUAUUGAGAACAACCUAUGGUUGUUGGCAGACUGUGUUACUUAUUGUUUGAAAGUUUUUAUCUGGAGGUUGGAAUUUUGUAAGGGAAAAUAUGACGAAAUACACACUGAUAGAAAAUUUGACUUUUUCUCCAAAAUAAGAUUUUAAUUUUCAUUGUGAAUUGUUGAAUAGUUAUUAUCAAAUCUAUUUUGGGGAAAUUAUUCCAUAAUGAAAUACAAUCAUGUGAUAAUACAUAUGAUAACAUAUAUCGUGACAAAUUAUUGUGCAUUUUAUAAACAUCUCAGAUUUUAGUUCUUUGGAAAGUAGUUGUAUUUACAAUUUCUGUAUUACACAGUUAGAUGCAAAAACUUGCUAAUUAAAUACUUUCUUUUUUUCCC